CUUGUGGCUUCGCUGAGUCACCUGCUGAGCACUUGGGUGGUGGUUAACUCACCGGCAGCCUGCGCACCCAAGCCCACGCUUGGAGACAAUGUGAGUGCUGUCAGCAGCCUGGGAACAAGGAACACCUGUGUCCUGCACCUUAGCACGGAUUUACUGGUGUUUCCACUGAUGAGGGGCAAGCAGCGACAGGCAGCCAGCGAGCGGGUUUGCACCUCCGGCUGCUUCCGGGACCCAGCGCGGGGGUGCCUUGUCUGGGAGUAGCUGGGCUCUGGGGCCCGGGACCCCAGCUCCCCACACCUGCCAUCCGGUGCCUUCCAGGUGGAAAUGCAGUGACACCUGCCAUGAGGAGAGCAUCUUCUCUGUGAGGCUGCUUCCAGCUGGGAAUGGGCCAUCUGAACCCAGACCAACACACCUGUUUGUGGUUGCAACAAAGGUCCAUCUAGUCAAGGCUAUGGUUUUUCCUGUGGUCACCUAUGGAUGUGAGAGUUGGACUGUGAAGAAGGCUGAGCACUGAAGAAUUGAUGCUUUUGAACUGUGGUGUUGGAGAAGACUCUUGAGAGUCCCUUGGACUGCAAGGAGAUCCAACCAGUCCAUUCUGAAGGAGAUCAGCCCUGGGAUUUCUUUGGAAGGAAUGAUGCUAAAGCUGAAACUCCAGUACUUUGGCCAGCUCAUGUGAAGGGUUGACUCAUUGGAAAAGACUCUGAUGCUGGGAGGGAUUGGGGGCAGGAGGAGAAGAGGAUGACAGAGGGUGAGAUGGCUGGAUGGCAUCACUGCCUCGAUGGACGUGAGUCUGAGUGAACUCCGGGAGUUGGUGAUGGACAGGGAGGCCUGGCGUGCUGCGAUUCAUGGGGUCGCAAAGAAUCGGACACGACUGAGCGACUGAUCUGAUCUGAUGUGGUUGCUACAUCCAAAUCAGCACAUGCCCCUGGUUCCCAUGCCCACCUAAAGCUCCCCUGCCCACACAAUUGCUCUCUUCUAAGCAGAAGGGGCUCAAGUACACCUAAUCUAAGUCCCCUUCCACCCUUUUCACAGACUCAGCAGUUUUCCACAUCAAAUGUCAGUAAAACAGACUCAGCUUAUAUCCAGACUUGGUAAAUGACAAGCUGGAAAUCUGACCUAAACUGAGAAAACAUGGUUAACAAUUUUUAUAUGAUUUCAGGUUUUAAAUAGUGAUUACAUAGCUACCUGCCAUAAAAAAAAAUGUGCUGAAGAAACACAACAAAACACAAGCUUUAUUGACUUUUCAUCCCUGAGAACUUUCCAGAAAACCCACAUUUUGCGUUGGAUGGGCUUGUAGGAGACCUCAGAUCAGGUUCCACCUCCAGGAUUACCUAAAGGCAGAGGUGAGAGGUUUAAUCUACAAAACCCCCGCUCUCACUGUGGAGCUGGUUCUCAAACCGCGAAAGCCCUGCAGAUAAGCCUUAAUAGUUUGUGGAGCAAUGCCCCAAAUGAUGCAAUCUUGGUUUCCCAGGUCAGCCUGGUUUAUUUUGCUAAACUGAGUGUAUUGUAAUCUA
rnacentral:lncRNA from 1 species